AUGCUGCUGCUGCACGGGCUGACGGGGAAGAACAAGCAGGCGUGGAAGGAGGGCAAGAUCCGCGGCACGGCGGUGCUGGUCAAGAGCGGCGUGCUCGACCUCGGCGACUUCAACUCAUCCGUCCUCGACGACGUCCACAAGAUCCUCGACGGCCAAGGACGAUGGCGUCUCCUUCCAUCUCGUCAGCGCCACCGCACCCAACCCCCGGAGAUACAAUCAACGAUGGCAGGGGAGUCGGUUUUUCCGGGUCACGUUUGA
rnacentral:rRNA from 1 species